ensembl:lncRNA
CACAGUCAUAUGGUCAUGGGUUUGAUUUGCCCUGGCAGAAAUGUAACUGGCAUCCUGACAAACAGACUUUAUAGUCUAUUUAUGUAAUUAAUUUGCUUUAGGUAUUUUUUAUGGUAGCUGAAUAAUAUUUACCAAUAUAAUAGAUGUGUGGGGCUUUUUCAUCCGUAUCGUCACAAUGGGAGAAGUACAGCUUAUAAUAUUUUGGUCUUAAUGAGAAGCAAUGGGUAGAGAGUGGGUAAACUGCAGUUUGGGGGAUGUUUGUGGGAGUAAUCCAGAACUGACAGAGUGGGAGGAAAUGACUAUGCUCCUGUUGUGAAAGUCAAGAAAUCUCAGUAUCUGCAUAACAAGCUAAUAGAGCUUUGGGAUGUGCACUGAUUUUUAGUUGCUUAAGAAUGUUUAUUUCUCUGACAAUUUGCUUUUCUACAAUCUGUUCUGUAUUAUGGUGUCUCCCUCUGGACAUGUGCCAAACAUCCACAAAAUGGAAAUGAACCUGCCAGGCCACAUAAAAUUUUAAGAGAGCUUUGCACAUUUGAUUAUUUUCAUAGUCUAAGAAAGCUAUUAUUUGCUUCUACAGAGACCUGUCAGGCACUGACGGCAUUUUCCUUCAUUCAUCUGGAUGCCAAAUACCCCAGUAUCCUAUGAAGGCAAUGCAUUACUUUUUCCCUUUUCCUUCAUCUUUAUAUGCCCUGGGGGAAAGACUGGAAUGUGAAAUAAAUGUAGGAUGUAACUAUCUGACCACAGUCACAUUUAGGCAAUCCCUCAUGGGGAGUACUUUUCUGUUGUUCUAUUUUUAGUGUAGAUUUAAGCACUUUGAAUAGCAUGAUUCAGGGAUUGACAGAUACUAUUCACACUACUUAAAAUUUUUUUCUUAUAAUGUUUUGUCAUAAUAUAUUAAACAAAAGAAAAACAAACAAACAAACAAACAAAAGAAUUAACCACAAAGCAAAACCUAAAACAAAUGGAGAAGCUAUCUAUGGCUUUAGAACCAUUCCUCCUUAGAAUUCCUCCUCUAUGAACAGCUCUCCGUGGGGAACAGUGGAGAGGACUGUUUUGUGUUCACAUGCUCUAUGCUUGCCAAAAGUUGUUUGAACGCAAAAUAAAAUGAAAAAAACCCCCAACAAAACAACAACCAACCAAAACCAACCAAACCUGUCAUUGCCCUAGUGCUUAGGCUCCAUCCUUUUUUCGUGAAGUUUUCCAGUUUUUGACAAUGCAGCCUGCAGUGUGCAUGCAAUAGCCACAUAUAAGGUUUAGCCAUAAGCAAAUAGCACUUUAUUUUAAAAACUGCACAGUGUGAUGAUCGGAAAAACUUACUCUGCCUGGUCAAUAACUUUGGGUUUGUAUGUGUAUUCUAUGCACAUGAAUUAUCCAAGUGUGGUGCUUCAUCUUUAUAAGGCUCUCUAUAAUCAGGGUAGUCUUUGCUAUAAAACUAAAGGACUCUGUUCUACAAUCUGUGGAAAUUCAGUAUAUACGUUCUCUGGACAGCACAUGUAGCUGAACAGUAAUGGGGGAACUGUACAGUAUUCAGCUAAUUAUUCUGAAGGUAAAGUGCAUUGCUGGGUCUGAUUCUGUUCUCAGUUGCAGCAGUAUGAUUUGAGAGUAAAUCUAAUAAAGCUGAAUGAGUUUAAGA